rnacentral:rRNA from 1 species
UGAGGAAUAUUGGUCAAUGGGCGAGAGCCUGAACCAGCCAAGUAGCGUGCAGGAUGACGGCCCUAUGGGUUGUAAACUGCUUUUAUGCGGGGAUAAAGUGAGCCACGUGUGGCUUAUUGCAGGUACCGCAUGAAUAAGGACCGGCUAAUUCCGUGCCAGCAGCCGCGGUAAUACGGAAGGUCCGGGCGUUAUCCGGAUUUAUUGGGUUUAAAGGGAGCGUAGGCCGUCUGAUAAGCGUGUUGUGAAAUGUCGGGGCUCAACCUGGGCAUUGCAGCGCGAACUGUCAGACUUGAGUGCGCGGGAAGUAGGCGGAAUUCGUCGUGUAGCGGUGAAAUGCUUAGAUAUGACGAAGAACUCCGAUUGCGAAGGCAGCCUGCUGUAGCGCAACUGACGCUGAAGCUCGAAAGCGUGGGUAUCGAACA